AUUGAACGCUGGCGGCGUGCUUAACACAUGCAAGUCGAUCGGUAACAGGUGUAGCAAUACAUGCUGACGAGAGGCGGACGGGUGAGGAACGCUUGGGAAUCUGCCUAUCAGCGGGGGACAACCCGGGGAAACCCGGGCUAAUACCGCAUACGCUCUACGGAGGAAAGCCGGGGACCGCAAGGCCUGGCACUGAUAGAUGAGCCCAAGCCGGAUUAGCUAGUUGGCGGGGUAACGGCCCACCAAGGCGACGAUCCGUAGCUGGUCUGAGAGGACGAUCAGCCACACCGGAACUGAGACACGGUCCGGACUCCUACGGGAGGCAGCAGUGGGGAAUAUUGGACAAUGGGCGAAAGCCUGAUCCAGCGACGCCGCGUGGGUGAAGAAGGCCUGCGGGUUGUAAAGCCCUUUCGGUAGGGACGAAAGCUCUCGACCUAACACGUCGGGAGGUUGACUUAACCUACAAAAGAAGCACCGGCUAACUCUGUGCCAGCCGCCGCCGUAACAC
rnacentral:rRNA from 1 species